UGCGCAGGGGGCAGUGCCUGGCCGGAGGCUGCAAGCACCCCAGUGGGCAUCUACCUGCCCAGGCCACCCACGGCUCCUCCUCCUGGGGUGGUGGGAUGGUUCAGGGCACUGCAGCAGCUUGGCUGUGUCCCACGUGCCAGCCCCAGUGGAUCUCCUCUGGGACAUGGCUGUUGCCUUGUGCCAAAAUCCUUUGCCUAUCUGACUGCAUGGCUCUCAUACAAAUUGGACAGGUUCAGUUAUAGCAAAGCAGCCCUAGUCUGAGCUUCUUGCACAGCGCUGGAACAAGCACUUACAGGCAGGCAGUGGUGUCCUGCCUCCUCUCACUGAGGAUGUUCAAGUCAAGUCCCCAGGCCCCUGCAGCUACAAUGGGCCUGUGUCACAUGAAAUGCCCACGCACGUGCCAUCUCCGCUCGCAGGACAGAAAUCCUCUCUGAACAUGCAGUCCAGUGCACCUUGUUGGCAGCAGUCAUUGCAGACCUUCACCUCCCACUCCCUUGGGAUUUCUGAUCUGGAAGCUCUGCCAAUACACAGCACGAUGAGCCCCUCAUCGCCAGCUGUGUCCUCCUACCCCAAGCACAGUGGCAGGAACCCGCACGGACACCCGUGCAGGAGAGCUCCCGUCCAGCUUGUCCUUGCCAGUUGCUAACUGAUGCCCGUGGAAGUUUCAAAGACUGUCAACAACACAGCCCACAGUAUUGCAGGCUGUGCUUCCUGGAACAGUCAGCUGGA